rnacentral:rRNA from 1 species
GACGAACGCUGGCGGCGUGCCUAAUACAUGCAAGUCGAACGAAGCUGUUUUAACUGGUGCUUGCACCGACUUAAACAACUGAGUGGCGAACGGGUGAGUAACACGUGGGUAACCUGCCCCAAAGCGGGGGAUAACAUUUGGAAACAGAUGCUAAUACCGCAUAACCACAGAAACCACAUGGUUUCUGUGUCAAAGAUGGUUUCGGCUAUCACUUUGGGAUGGACCCGCGGCGUAUUAGCUAGUUGGUAAGGUAAUGGCUUACCAAGGCAAUGAUGCGUAGGCGAACUGAGGCGUUGGUCGGCCACAUGGGAACGGAGAGACGGCCCAAACACCUACGGGGGGAAGCAGUAGUGAAUAUUACACAAGGGAGGAACGUCUGAUGGGGCAACGCCGCGUGAGUGAAGAAGGUUUUCGGAUCGUAAAACUCUGUUGUCAGAGAAGAACGUGUGCGAGAGUAACUGUUCGUGCAGUGACGGUAUCUGGCCAGAAAGCCACGGCUAACUACGUGCCAGCAGCCGCCGUAA